GCCAGUGUGGUGUAGUGGUUUGAGUGUUGGACUAAGACUCUGGAGACCAGGGUUCGAAUCCUGGCUCAGCCA